ACUAUUUUGUCAGAAAAAUGAAAUAAAUUUAGAAUUUAUUAAUGUAUAAUAUUAUAAUUUAUACAAAUAGUA
rnacentral:tRNA from 1 species